UACGUAGGGUGCGAGCGUUGUCCGGAAUUACUGGGCGUAAAGAGCUUGUAGGCGGUUUGUCGCGUCUGCUGUGAAAUUUCGGGGCUCAACCCCGAACUUGCAGUGGGUACGGGCAGACUAGAGUGUGGUAGGGGAGACUGGAAUUCCUGGUGUAGCGGUGAAAUGCGCAGAUAUCAGGAGGAACACCUGUGGUGUAGACAGCUUACUGGACCACUUCUGACGCUGAGACACGAAAGCGUGGGUAGCAAACAGG
rnacentral:rRNA from 1 species